rnacentral:lncRNA from 1 species
AAAAUUUUACAAGGUUUUCACUUAGUUUUGCUAAAAUGUCCAUCUCUUCAUCUUGUUUCAAUUGUGAGUCAAUUGUGUGGCAUGGGUACAAUUAUGCUCUCUUCAUAUGCAGAAUUAAUGUCAUUUUUUUUACUAUAGAUAUUUUCCAUUUUUCACCUGAGACCACAGGCCAAUUUCAAAAAGAAUAUUUACUUCUAAUUAUGUAGCUUCUAUUACAUAGCUAGUAUUGUCUUUGUUUACUUCAUGUAUAUGCCAAAAAGACCUCAUGACUUAUGAAACGUUCAACUGUUUACUUAAAUUGGCCCAAUAAAUUUAAUAAACUCAAUUAUGUCAAUUUUAUAAAGUAAAAUGAACAGUAACUAAACAAAAACUGGAUUCAAUAGCAUUCUCUAAUUGAAACAAAAUAUAAAAUACACUAAAUAACAUACAAUACACGCACUGUGAAAUUACUCACGUGAAAAUUAUUUUGUGAACACCAUUAAAUUUUAUCAAAGUCACUUUCAUAAUCUCUGAGGUGAUUAUACAAAGAAUGUUUUAUGAAAAGAAAAUUAUGUCUAUGGUGAGCAACAGGCAAACAGACAAACAACAAAAAAAGAAUUUGCACAAGAUGAUUCUAAGCCAGGAGCAAUAACAUUUUAGAUAAAUGAAUUUAAUACACAGCAGAGAAAAUAGAUUUGCUUUCAAAAUCUCUGAAGUUUCUGGUUUGCUGGUAAGUGAUCAACACUUGUAAAAUUAUCUGUUCAUUCUAAUAUUUUUCUUUUCUUCUCAAAGUAGGUACACAACCAUAAACAAAUAUGAUUACUUUCUCUAUAAAUCUGUUACACCUGAAGUUUAUUUUACAGUGAUAUAUCUAUAUAUUUAAAUCCAUGUAAACCAAAACUAAAGGUCUGUAUGUGUUUAGCAGACCAGAGAAGUCAUAUGUUCAACAGAAAAAAGUAGGAUAAAAUUUUAUAAAUAGUUGUUCAGAAUUCAGAAACAUAUAGCUCCAAUUAUACUCAUAAUCUUCAUUACAACCAUCAUAAUAAUCUGUAGUUACAAGUAAACAAAAAUGUAAGUUGUAGAAACCAUAUUCUCUAAAUUAUUUUAAGUUAAAGACCACUGACAAAGGGAUCACUAGAGAUGUUAGUCCACUGUCACCCAAUAGUAUAUUGUUACCUACAACCUUGGGUAAGAUGGGAUAAGUUAACAUCAGUGGCAAGAUACACAUUCAAUGUAAAAUAGCCUUAACACAAUAACAAUAAUUUUGGUUUAUUAAAACAAAUUAAGUUCACACAUUGUCAUUAAAAAGGCAUUUUGAAAUUCACUGUAUUUUAAUUACCUUAAUUUGCAAAUGGUAAGGCAAUUUCCUUCUAAAAUUCAAAUUGUUUCUCUUACUAAGCAGAUUAUUAUCCUGAUCACUUACCACACUCCUAUCAUCCUGUCACUUACGAUACUGCUGUAAACUAAUAAGUGGCCUUUCCACUUAGAAUUUCUUCGUGUGUCUUAGGUUUCAGUUUACUUAAUCCUCCAUGGAAAAGUAUAUAAAUCUGUCCAUCUAAUAUAGAAGAACCUCUCACAACUCUGGUGCAACCACUGACCAUGUUCUUUCACAUAAAUUCUAGAAAUGAAGACACAGCAUCAAAUGUAAGAGUUAAAUUAUAUUGAAAUUUGCUUUUGAAAAAUAUUGAAUCCUUUUAAUAUAAAAAAGUAGGUUCCCUUUAGAGAAAAGUGAUCGAGAUUGCUGACUAGAAGCAGCUAGACUGUGCAGUUCUCAUAGACAGGAAUGCAAGGUAUACAUAAAUACAGCACCUGCAACUGAAACAUCCAGGUACUUGCAUUGGGAAUAAUCAAAGAAACAAUCUAUGGAGAAUGGAGUAAAGCAAGGCAGGACAAUGGGCCACCUGGGAACAACAUGGAGCCAAGGGAACCUCCCCACCCAGUAAAGCAGUGAGUGCAUGUGUGACCCUAGAAACCCAUGAUUCUCCCACAGAUCUCUGCAACCUUCAGGUGAGGAGAUACCCUCAUGAACCCACUUCACCAAGGCCUUCAGUUUAACACACAGAGCUACAUGGAGUCUCAGCAGAUAAGCCACUUAGGCCUGCGCAGAUUCAAGAGCCUUAGAUACUGGCUUUCCAGGCUUCCCAGAAAAAGUAGCUGCAACUCGAGCAAAGCAGGUUACACCCCUGAACAUACCCAUAGGAAAGAGGCAGAAUCCAGGGGGCUGAUAGUGAUGGUCUGUAGGACCCACUUCAACAAUGCCUCACGUGGUAAGACCUACUGGCUUAGAUUCCAGCCAACCAUUGGUAGCAGCACUGCACCUCCCUGGGAUGGAGCUACCAGAAAGAGGAGUGGGCCACCAUCUUUGCUGCUUGAGCAACUUAGCCAUUCCAGCCUUCAGGCUUUGAAGAGCCCAAGCUGACCGGGGGGCGGAAAGGAUCUCCUAGCACAGUACAGGUGCUCUAAAAAGACAUGGCCAGACUGCCUGUUAAAGCAGGUCCCCCGUUUCAUUCCUUCUCACUGGAAAGUACUUCCCAAUGAGGGUCUCCAGCUACCACCACCAGCGCUCUUUGGUUGAUGGAGUUUUGAAACCUCUUUGGGAUACAGUUCCUAGAGGGAGGAGUGAGCUGCCAUUUUUGCUGUUUGUGUGAGUUAGCUGUUCCAGCCUUCUGGCUUUGGAGAAUCCAAAUAAACUGGGGGUGGAAGUGGUACCUCUGAAUAGCAGAGCUGUCCUGCAAAAAUAUGGCUAGACUGCUUUCUUAAGUGGGUCCCCAAUCAUGUUUUCCUCACUGGGUAGGACCUUCAACAGGGGCUUCCAGCUACCUCCUACAGGUGCUUUUGGGCUGGCAACAGGUCUAUACCUCCCUGGGAUGGCGCUCCCAGAGAAAAGGGCAUGCUGCCAUUGUUGCUGUUUUGCAGCAUUCAGUGGUGAUAACUUCCAGUACUGGAAAAUCUGAGGUGACUAGAAACUGUAGUGGACACCCAGCAUACUGCAGCAGCCCUUCAGAAGUGGUCGGACUGUUACGUGAGUGCCUGUUCUCAUAUAUUCUCACGAGGCAGGUUUGGCUUUGCUUGCCCCACCAGCAAAUGGGAAUGCAAUAUGCCCCGCCACCCCCAGCAACUGCCAUUGUAGAUGAAACUUUGGUGGGCAGAGAGCCAGAAAACUCCACCCCUGCCUUUGUGCUAACACUGUGCAGAGAACAGGGUAACCUCCCACACUCUGAACAAUCACUCUUUCUUGGGGGGCACAGAGAAGGCAUCAAAACCUUUACUGGCCAGUAUCCUGCCCCAAGCCAACACCACCUUUAGUGCAACAGCACACAGCCUCCAGCAGGUAUCCCCCACUCCCUUCCCAGCUGCUUUGCUCCUGCCACUGAGGUGAGUACCCAAAGACAGGCAGAAAUCCCAUAUCCACUAGCACUCUGCUCCAGCUAUGGCACCUUCAUCCCACAAACUCGCAAACUCCAAAUCUCAAGGAGCCAGAGAACACAGUUGGGGCUCAAAACAAGUCCCCCGGAGUUAGAGUAUGCAGCCUCUGAGUUGUGAGCUGAGCAUUGCCCACCCACCACCACCACCAAACAAAACAAAACAAAACAAAACAAAACAAAAAAAACCUCCCAGGAACAAAGCCUGUUGGCUGCAUCCAUCUUAUACCACAAUCAAAUACUCAAGACCAUCAAAUAGGAUUAAAAAAAAAAAAGCCCAAAGGUCAGCAACCUCAAAGAUAUGCCCACAAAGAUAAGACACAAUCAGUGCAAAGAUAAAAACACAAAAAGCCAGAGUGACUUCUUUCAUCCAAAUGACCAAAUUACAUUUCCAGCAAGGCCUAAGAUGACAGAAGUAGAAUUCAGAAUAUGGGUAGAAACAAACUUCACUGAGUUACAAAAGUAAUUUGCAACCCAAUGCAAGGGAGGAAAAAAAAUUGCAGGAACUGACGGAAAAAACAGCCAGUCUGGAGAAAAAAUGUGGCCAACCUGAUAGAACUGAAAAACACAAUACAAAACCUUUAUAAUGUAAUCACAUAUAUUAACAGCAGAAUAGGCCAAGCAGAGGAAAGAAUCUCAGGGCCUCAAGACUGGCUUUCUGAAAUCAGACAGACAAGAACAGUGAAAAAAGAAUAAAGAGGAAUGAACAAAACCUCUAAGAAAUAUGGGAUUAUGUAAAGAAACCAAAUCUAUGAUGCAAGAGAUUGCCUGAAAGUGAUGGGGAGAAUGAAAACAACUUGAAAUACGUAUUUCAGGAUAACAUCCAUGAGAACUUCCCCAACCUAGAGAGGCCAACAUUCAAAUGCAGGAAAUGUGGAGAACCCCAGUAAGAUACCCCAGGAGAAGGUCAUCCUCAAGACACAUAAUCAUGAGAUUCUCCAGGGUCAAAAUGAAAGAAAAAAUAUGUUAAAGGCAGCUAGAGAGAAAGGCCAGGUCACCUCUAAAAAGAAGCUCAUCAGGAAAACAACAAAUCUUUCAGCUGAAAUCCUACAAGUCAAAAGAGAUUAUAGGGGCCAAUAUUCAACAUUCUUAAAAAAAGAAUUCCAACACAGAAUUUCAUAUCUGACCAAGGUAAGCUUCAGAAGUAAAAAAUAUAUAUGAUCCUAUUCAGACAAGCAAAUGCUGAGAAAAUGUUACCACAGGAUCUGUCUUAAAAGAGCUUCUGAAGAAAGCAUUAAAUAAGAAAAAGACUAUUACCAGUCACUACAAAAGCACACUAAAGUAUACAAACUGUGGACACUAUAAAGCAACCACAGAAACAAAUGUGCAAAAUAGCCAGCUAAGAUCCUAAUAACAGAAUCCAAUCCACACAUAUGAAUACUAACCUUAAAUGUAAA